UAGGGAAUCUUCGGCAAUGGACGAAAGUCUGACCGAGCAACGCCGCGUGAGUGAUGAAGGUUUUCGGAUCGUAAAACUCUGUUGCCAGGGAAGAAAGGCUGAGCGAGUAACUGCGCUUGGAUUGACGGUACCUGAGAAGAAAGCCCCGGCUAACUACGUGCCAGCAGCCGCGGUAAUACGUAGGGGGCAAGCGUUGUCCGGAAUUAUUGGGCGUAAAGCGCGCGCAGGCGGUUGUUUAAGUCUGGUGUAUAAACCUGAGGCUCAACCUUGGGACGCAUUGGAAACUGGGGAACUGGAGUGUAGGAGAGGAAAGUGGAAUUCCACGUGUAGCGGUGAAAUGCGUAGAGAUGUGGAGGAACACCAGUGGCGAAGGCGACUUUCUGGCCUAUAACUGACGCUGAGGCGCGAAAGCGUGGGGAGCAAACA
rnacentral:rRNA from 1 species